UACGUAGGGUGCAAGCGUUAAUCGGAAUUACUGGGCGUAAAGCGUGCGCAGGCGGUUAUGUAAGACAGUUGUGAAAUCCCCCGGGCUCAACCUGGGAAUUGCAUCUGUGACUGCAUAGCUAGAGUACGGUAGAGGGGGAUGGAAUUCCGCGUGUAGCAGUGAAAUGCGUAGAUAUGCGGAGGAACACCGAUGGCGAAGGCAAUCCCCCUGGACCUGUACUGACGCUCAUGCACGAAAGCGUGGGGAGCAAACAGG
rnacentral:rRNA from 1 species